AUACAGAGGUGGCAAGCGUUGCUCGGUAUCACUGGGCUUAAAGGGCGCGUAGGCGGCGCGGUACGGUUCGGGUGAAAUCCCUCGGCUCAACCGAGGAACUGCCUGGGCUACGGCCGCGCUAGACAGCAUCAGGGGAAGGUGGAACUCCAGGUGGAGCGGUGAAAUGUGUAGAUAUCUGGAGGAACGCCGGUGGCGAAAGCGACCUUCUGGGGUGCUUGUGACGCUGAGGCGCGAAAGCUAGGGGAGCGAACGGGAUUAGAAACCCCAGUAGUCC
rnacentral:rRNA from 1 species